rnacentral:rRNA from 1 species
CAGCAUACUGCCGUGAAUACGUUCCCGGGCCUUGUACACACGCCCGUCACACCAUGAGAGUUGGGGAUACCCGAAGCCUGUGAGCUAACUUAUAGAGGCAGCAGUCGAAGGUAGAAUCAAUGAUUGGGGUGAAGUCGUAACAAGGUAGC